rnacentral:rRNA from 1 species
GGAGCUCAAGCUCCGAAACUGCAUUUGAUACUGCCUUGGCUUGAGGACUGGAGAGGAGACUGGAAUUUACGGUGUAGCAGUGAAAUGCGUAUAGAUCGUAAGGAAGACCACUGGCGAAGGCGGGUCUCUGGACAGUUCCAUGACACUGAGGCACGAAGGCCAGGGGAGCAAACGGGAUUAGAUACCCCGGUAGUCCUGGCAGUAAACGGUGCACGUUUGGUGUGGGGGGAUUCGACCCCUUCCGCGCCGGAGCUAACGCGUUAAACGUGCCGCCUGUGGAGUACGGUCGCUAGAUUAAAACUCAAAGAAAUUGACGGGGGCCCGCACAAGCGGUGGAGUAUGUGGCUUAAUUCGAUGCAACGCGAAGAACCUUACCAGGCCUUGACAUGCAUUUCUAACUUGGUGAAAGCCAGCGAAUGUCGUAAGACAUAACUUGCACAGGUGCUGCAUGGCUGUCGUCAGCUCGUGUCGUGAGAUGUUGGGUUAAGUCCCGCAACGAGCGCAACCCCAUGUGAACUGUUGCCACCCUCUUUAUUGAGGAGCACUCUGU